UGGGGGAUAUUGCACAAUGGGGGAAACCCUGAUGCAGCGACGCCGCGUGAGUGAAGAAGUAUUUCGGUAUGUAAAGCUCUAUCAGCAGGGAAGAAGAUGACGGUACCUGACUAAGAAGCCCCGGCUAACUACGUGCCAGCAGCCGCGGUAAUACGUAGGGGGCAAGCGUUAUCCGGAUUUACUGGGUGUAAAGGGAGCGUAGACGGCUGUGCAAGUCUGGAGUGAAAUGCCGGGGCUCAACCCCGGAACUGCUUUGGAAACUGUACGGCUUGAGUGCUGGAGAGGUAAGCGGAAUUCCUAGUGUAGCGGUGAAAUGCGUAGAUAUUAGGAGGAACACCAGUGGCGAAGGCGGCUUACUGGACAGUAACUGACGUUGAGGCUCGAAAGCGUGGGGAGCAAACA
rnacentral:rRNA from 1 species